UUCGCCCUUAGAGUUUGAUCCUGGCUCAGGAUGAACGCUGGCGGCGUGCCUAACACAUGCAAGUCGAACGGAGUUCUUAAGGAAUGCGACUUCGGUCAAAUGACUUUUGAACUUAGUGGCGGACGGGUGAGUAACGCGUGAGCAACCUGCCUUUCAGAGGGGGAUAACAUUUGGAAACAGAUGCUAAUACCGCAUAAGAUUACAGUACCGCAUGAUACAGUGAUCAAAGGAGCAAUCCGCUGAAAGAUGGGCUCGCGUCCGAUUAGAUAGUUGGUGAGGUAACGGCUCACCAAGUCGACGAUCGGUAGCCGGACUGAGAGGUUGAACGGCCACAUUGGGACUGAGACACGGCCCAGACUCCUACGGGAGGCAGCAGUGGGGGAUAUUGCGCAAUGGGGGAAACCCUGACGCAGCAACGCCGCGUGAAGGAUGAAGGUCUUCGGAUUGUAAACUUCUUUUAUUAAGGACGAAGAAAGUGACGGUACUUAAUGAAUAAGCUCCGGCUAACUACGUGCCAGCAGCCGCGGUAAUACGUAGGGAGCAAGCGUUGUCCGGAUUUACUGGGUGUAAAGGGAGCGCAGGCGGGAUAGCAAGUCAGCUGUGAAAACUAUGGGCUCAACCCAUAAACUGCAGUUGAAACUGUUAUUCUUGAGUGGAGUAGAGGCAAGCGGAAUUCCGAGUGUAGCGGUGAAAUGCGUAGAUAUUCGGAGGAACACCAGUGGCGAAGGCGGCUUGCUGGGCUCUAACUGACGCUGAGGCUCGAAAGUGUGGGGAGCAAACAGGAUUAGAUACCCUGGUAGUCCACACUGUAAACGAUGAUUGAUAGGUGUGGGGGGUCUGUCCCCCUCCGUUGCCGGAGCAAACGCAAUAAGCACUCCACCUGGGGAGUACGAUCGCAAGAUUGAAACUCAAAGGAAUUGACGGGGGCCCGCACAAGCGGUGGAGCAUGUGGUUUAAUUCGAAGCAACGCGAAGAACCUUCCCAAGGCUUGACCUCCCUCUGACGUAUGCAGAGAUGUAUAUUUUCUUCGGAACAGAGGAGACAGGUGGUGCAUGGUUGUCGUCAGCUCGUGUCGUGAGAUGUUGGGUUAAGUCCCGCAACGAGCGCAACCCUUAUCUUUAGUAGCCAGCAUAAAGAUGGGCACUCUAAAGAGACUGCCGUGGAUAACACGGAGGAAGGUGGGGAUGACGUCAAAUCAUCAUGCCCCUUAUGUCUUGGGCAACACACGUGCUACAAUGGACGGAACAAAGUGAGGCAAAGCCGCGAGGUGGAGCGAAGCACAAAAACCCGUUCUCAGUUCGGAUUGUAGUCUGCAACUCGACUACAUGAAGCUGGAAUCGCUAGUAAUCGCGAAUCAGAAUGUCGCGGUGAAUACGUUCCCGGGCCUUGCACACACCGCCCGUCA
rnacentral:rRNA from 1 species